GCCGACCCGACCCGCUCCUGGGGCCGCCUGGUCUCGGGCGUGCAGGUGGGCUGGAUCGCGGCUCCCGCCCCCGCCCCUCCACCACCCGCCCGCCCGGCCCGCCCUCGUGCUCCGGCGCCCGCACACAAAGCCCCUUUCACGGACUCGGGCUCGACUUCUGCUGCUCCGGAGUGGCAUGUCAGGGGAACAACUGAUCGCCCCUCUGGUGUGCUGGCACUGGGGUUCAAGGUACUCAGGCACCCUCAAGUCACAGGAGUUUAUCAUGAAGAAGGCUGUAAGGCCAAGAAUUAAGGCCAACAGCUACUCACCCAAGCUGCUUCUCUGUCUUCCGGCUUCUGCUCCUGCCACACACUGAGCACAUCUGGGGAAAGCACCUCACAGGGUCAGAGAAGUGCAAAUGCCUACAACGUCAGUCACCUGUCUCAUCGCGUCCUGUUCUUUGUAGCCAUCGCGUUCCUAUGGAUACCCUAAGGCCCAAAUUAAAUAUUACAGAAUUUUUGUUUGGCAGAGAUUGCCAACAUUAAGCCACACAACUGGUAUCACAAGACAUUGGCAGGUGAUGGCGCACCAACCCCGGGGCCAGAAGACAAGGGCCUUUCGUCGUAUCAGUGAGCAGCCCCCAGGGGCUCUUUGCUGCCACUGACUCCUCUCCCUGAGCCUGGACUCCAUUACUACUACCCUCCUCAGCACUCUGGCUGACUCUCUGUGCCUCCAGCCUUGUAUCUUCUGAUGUGUCUACAUCACAAAUGUGACCAUGCGAUCUCCUGCUUAAGUCCUUCCAGGAGCUCCCCACACCUGCAGGGUCAUGCUCAAAGAGCACCACAGGUGACAGGCACGGUGUGACCCAGCUCUUGCCACCACUCCAUGGGCCGUCCACUGACUUGACCUGGCCACAUCCAGCUCCUGCUCACCACUGGGCCGUCCACUGACUUGACCUGGCCACAUCCAGCUCCUGCCACCACUCCAUGGGCCGUCCACUGACUUGACCUGGCCACAUCCAGCUCCUGCUCACCACUCCAUGGGCCGUCCACUGACUUGACCUGGCCACAUCCAGCUCCUGCCACCACUCCAUGGGCCGUCCACUGACUUGACCUGGCCACUCAAGCCACUGGUAUUCCCUAGGUGGGCCCACCUCUCACGACAUGACACAGGAAGGCAGACGGUCCCACGGAAGGAACAAAAACCUCUUCACCUUGAAGACACAGUUCAAGCAUCCCCUUCUCCAAUUUUUUCCUCCUGAGUCUCCAAGUGGAACAACUCCAUCAUUGUGGCCCUAUCCCCGCGUAUAGGCCUCUGGCUCAGUACGGGUAAACUGCUAUUGGUCUUCUUAACUUCCAAGUUCUGCACAGAAAUGCACAGGCCCUGAAGGCAGCUGGCUCCAUGAGCCUUGGGACAGAGAGAAAAGCUCUGAGAAGGAAGCUUUGACACCAGAAGGGAGUCUGUCUCCAGGAAAUAACAAAAACAGACUUACAUCAAGAGGAUCACUGGAUGGAACAAAACAAAGCAAAGAGAAAGUUUAAAAUUUUCUCAGAGAGUUAAAAAUAUGAAAAAGGGAGAUGAGAAUAAAAUUUAUGGGGCUACUAUGAAUUCAUGAUUUUUAAUUAUUUAUAUCAUCUAUCUCCAUCUCCCUCAAUAUUUCCAUAUAUCUUUAUCUACAGUUAUUUCCUUGCUCUGUCUGCCAAGAAAAGCCUAGAAG
ensembl:lncRNA